rnacentral:other from 1 species
UAUGUUCUGCGGUGUUCGAUAGCGACAAGUGUGUCUUGAGCCGAUAAGAAAAUGCUACGGAAACUGAUAUUGAUGAGGCGUGCAGGCUCGCAAGACGAGAAGCCCAAUUGUUAAUAAAGGUCUCCACUUGAACCUCCUGGUUCAAGAACCCGUUCGUACCGGCACUGUGGGACUGUU